rnacentral:rRNA from 1 species
CGCCUGUUUAUCAAAAACAUCUCUUCUCGUUAGUUUUUGAAGUAUGGCCUGCCCACUGACCUUGAAUGUUGAAGGGCCGCGGUAUUUUGACCGUGCAAAGGUAGCAUAGUCAUUAGUUCUUUAAUUGUGAUCUGGUAUGAAUGGCUUGACGAGGCAUAAGCUGUCUUAAUUUUGAAUUGUUUAUUGAAUUUGGUCUUUGAGUUAAAAUUCUUAGAUGUUUUUAUGGGACGAGAAGACCCUAUAGAGUUUGACAUUUAUUAUGGUCUCUUUCUGUUUGUGAGGGUUCACUAGGGCUGUUUAAUAUGUUUUGUUGGGGUGAUGGGAGGGAUAUUAUUUAACCCCUCCUUUGUGUUGUUAUAUUUAUUUAUAUUUGUUUGAUCCAUUUAUUUUGAUUGUAAGAUUAAAUUACCUUAGGGAUAACAGCGUAA